GGUUUGCUGGUCUAGUGGUAUGAUUCUCGCUUCGGGUGCGGGAGGUCACGGGUUCGAUUCCCGUGCAAGCCC
rnacentral:tRNA from 1 species